ACUGCUCAGUAACACGUGGACAACCUGCCCUUAGGUUGGGUAUAAACCCGGGAAACUGGGUAUAAUACCCGAUAGGUCUCGAUUGCUGGAAUGCAUCGAGAUUUAAAGCUCCGGCGCCUAAGGAUGGGUCUGCGGCCUAUCAGGUAGUAGUGGGUGUAGCGUACCUACUAGCCUACGACGGGUACGGGUUGUGAGAGCAAGAGCCCGGAGAUGGAUUCUGAGACACGAAUCCAGGCCCUACGGGGUGCAGCAGGCGCGAAAACUUUACAAUGCUGGCAACAGCGAUAAGGGAACCUCGAGUGCCAGGUUACAAAUCUGGCUGUCGAGAUGCCUAAAAAGCAUUUCAUAGCAAGGGCCGGGCAAGACCGGUGCCAGCCGCCGCGGUAACACCGGCGGCUCGAGUGGUAACCGUUAUUAUUGGGUCUAAAGGGUCUGUAGCCGGCCGGAUAAGUCUCUUGAGAAAUCUGGCAGCUUAACUGUCAGGCUUUCAGGAGAUACUGUCUGGCUCGAGGCCGGGAGAGGUGAGAGGUACUUCAGGGGUAGGGGUGAAAUCUUGUAAUCCUUGAAGGACCACCAGUGGCGAAGGCGUCUCACCAGAACGGACCUGACGGCAAGGGACGAAAGCUAGGGGCACGAACCGGAUUAGAUACCCGGGUAGUCCCAGCCGUAAACUAUGCUCGCUAGGUGUCAGGCAUGGCGCGACCGUGUCUGGUGCCGCAGGGAAGCCGUGAAGCGAGCCACCUGGGAAGUACGGCCGCAAGGCUGAAACUUAAAGGAAUUGGCGGGGGAGCAC
rnacentral:rRNA from 1 species